rnacentral:misc_RNA from 1 species
CAGGAACUCGCAAGACUCCCGUAAACCACUGUGAACUUACCUACAACCCGUUGCCUCGGCGGGUGCUCCGGGCGCGUCUUCGGGCGCUCCGGGGCGCUCCAGCCCGCCGGCGGCCCCUAAACUCUGUCUCUGUAACGUUGGCAUCUCCGAGCAGACUAUAAACGAGUCA